UACGUAGGGUGCUAGCGUUGUCCGGAUUUAUUGGGCGUAAAGGGCUCGUAGGCGGUUUGUCGCGUCGGGAGUGAAAACUCAGGGCUUAACCCUGAGCCUGCUUCCGAUACGGGCAGACUAGAGGUAUGCAGGGGAGAACGGAAUUCCUGGUGUAGCGGUGAAAUGCGCAGAUAUCAGGAGGAACACCGGUGGCGAAGGCGGGUCUCUGGGCAGUAACUGACGCUGAGGAGCGAAAGCGUGGGGAGCGAACAGG
rnacentral:rRNA from 1 species